CCGAGCGACCCGCAAGCUCGCUAGUCAGCGUCGCGACGUCCGUCGAGCAUGUUGCUCGAGCCGCUCAUUUCUUGACUAUUGCGACACGUGCUCGGUAAUUUAUCGUGAAUCAUUCUACCUCUGUUACUCGCGUAGGCGGUUAUCUUUGAUCGUGAGUACUUGUACCGAAGUUCCUUGCGAGUUUAGCAUCAAAUUCAAUAAAAGCGCACGGCUUAUAUGAAGGUUCGAAAGGGCCCCGGCAGUAAUCAAGUUUGUGUGAGAAGAAAGUUGAUAGGAAGAAAUAGAAAGGCGGAAUGCUAAAGGGGUAGCUUGGAUCUUUUCAAUUAAGAUGCUCUCCCGAAGGGGUGAGAGAAGUUCGAGGGUGAGAGGAUGCGGAUCACGACCACCCCUUGACGAAAGGAGGGGUGUAGCUGCUUAAACACAUAGGCUUAUUCCCUGCAUAACGAGAAUGCCAAGGGUGAACAAUAGAGGCCUCACUGAAACGGCCUGCACAGUGGACGCCUGUUUCAUCCCUUUUGUAUUCCUCGCACUACGGUAGCCUAUCCUUCGGCGCGGAAGUGAACGGCCGGAGGGGGGAGACCUUAGGGACAGGAAAUCGGAGGAAGGAACUUGUGGCGCCUGGCGCGAUAAAACGAUAAACGGACUUAACGAUGUCGUGCGAGAAGGCUUCGCGACGCCUUAGGACUUUAAUCUUCAAAGCCAAACGACUGGGUCUUGCUCUUGAAGAGGUCGCCGAAUUACCAGCUUCCAGGAAGCUGGCACCGACCCGGACCGGAAGAAGAUCCUGGUCGAUCUUCGUGGCUGUUUUGGCGAUGCUUGGCGCUGGGACGAUACUCGUUAUAUUUUGUGCUCCCUGCUUGGCUAGAAAAGCCACCAGGGACGUCGGGGUUCUUCCUUAGAAAGAGAAGCUCGAUUAUUGUUCAGCGUAUCGAUUGGCCCGAAGCUAAAUGGACUUCCUCGAAGGAUUCUUUGUCCUCGUUGUUAGAGAAACCAGAGUAAUGACGUAAGAGUAAAAUAAGACAUAAGCAUAAAGAUUUGCUAGGACUAUACAUAUAUGUAACAAGAAUGUCAACUCAUAUAAGAAAUUAUUAAAGAUGCUGAUUAUAAA